AAGCGGUAUAUAAGUCUAACUGCUAUUGCUAACUGCUAUUGCUAUCUGACAGGAUCCAGUAGGAGAGCCUUUCUGCAGGGGCACCCAUCUUUUGGAAUAUAUCAGUGUGCACAAAUUACUACGUGAGACAACCCAGGAGCAAUAACAGCAAACAGCCAUACGUCGUCCAAAUUCCAUAUCAGGGAGUUGCUGUCUCAUCUGCUGUAGCUCAGUAAACAUCUACAAGAUGACAUUUAGCCAUAAGGAAAAGCAGUCCAACUCUGGAGAUAUUCAGAAGUGCUGGUAAAGCUCAUCAAAGUAAAGUCCCCACCAUUCAGUCAGAGCUGGAAGAAACUUCUUGGAUGAGAAGCAAAACAUCUUCAAAGAAAAACCAGAAAGCCCACUUGCCACUGAAAAAAACAGGUUUGGAACAACCAUGACUCAGAUGACUGAAAAUCUCCGUAGAUACUAACCAAAGUAAGCAUCUCUGUUUUUGAUGUUUCCUAAAAUGCACAACUAUACAUAGCUUUUUCCCUUCCACUGGCAGAAGCAUGCAAGAAAUUAAACCUACUUUAAUGCUUUGAUUACCAUAAAUGAUUAAUUAAAUCCAUAGUAACAAUAUAUUGCCUCUGAUUUUGUGCAAUCUGACACACUGAAAAAAGUUAAUUUAUCAAUCAUCACUUAGUCAUCCAUCAAUUUCUAAUGACAUUUUAGGCAAAAAUAUAUUAAAACAGUUGGCAAUCAAACCACUAUAAUUGAAAAUAUUAAG